rnacentral:lncRNA from 1 species
UCAGGUUAGAGCUGGGCAAAGAGGAAGCUGCUCAGGAUUGGAAGGUGGGAGAGAAGCAUCAGCCAUCACUCUCUGAGGUCGCCACAGUCAGAUGGAGUGACAGAUGAAGAGAUGCCUGCUUCCCUCAAUUAUGCAAAUUCUAGGUCUGAUUCCUAGAAUAAAUACUGGAUCUCAAAGCACUCACAGGAUUCUGCUCCCCUGGCUGAACUCUGGUGGAAAUGAUGUCAUGUGACUUCGAAACUAGGCCUUAAGAGUCCUUGCAGUUUUCCCUGUCCUGAGGCCACAUCAUGCUGUGAAAAAACCCAACUUAGCAGAGGCUGAGAAGUUACACGGAGGAGAAUGGAAGAGCCCUGGUCAAUACACACAACUGUGAAAAAAAUAACUCACUGUAGACAUUUUUUUUAGGCUGAGAAAAUAUUUUUCUAUUAAUUGGUUGAUCUGUCAUUAUAUUCCAUUGCAUAGUCAGUG